UGGGGAAUAUUGGACAAUGGGCGCAAGCCUGAUCCAGCAAUGCCGCGUGAGUGAAGAAGGCCUUAGGGUUGUAAAGCUCUUUCGCCCGCGACGAUGAUGACGGUAGCGGGAGAAGAAGCCCCGGCUAAUUCCGUGCCAGCAGCCGCGGUAAUACGGAAGGGGCUAGCGUUGUUCGGAAUCACUGGGCGUAAAGUGCGCGUAGGCGGCUUGGCAAGUGCGGCGUGAAAGUCCUGGGCUCAACCUGGGGACGGCGCUGCGGACUGCCUGGCUGGAGUCCGGAAGAGGGUGGUGGAAUUCCGAGUGUAGAGGUGAAAUUCGUAGAUAUUCGGAGGAACACCGGUGGCGAAGGCGGCCACCUGGUCCGGUACUGACGCUGAAGCGCGAAAGCGUGGGGAGCAAACAGGAUUAGAUACCCUGGUAGUCCACGCCGUAAACGAUGGGUGCUAGAUGUCGGGGGGCUUGCCCUUCGGUGUCGUAGCUAACGCGUUAAGCACCCGCCUGGGAGUA
rnacentral:rRNA from 1 species